rnacentral:rRNA from 1 species
AGUGAACGCUGGCGGCAGGCCUAACACAUGCAAGUCGAACGGCAGCACAGUAAGAGCUUGCUCUUACGGGUGGCGAGUGGCGGACGGGUGAGGAAUACAUCGGAAUCUACUUUUUCGUGGGGGAUAACGUAGGGAAACUUACGCUAAUACCGCAUACGACCUACGGGUGAAAGCAGGGGAUCUUCGGACCUUGCGCGAUUGAAUGAGCCGAUGUCGGAUUAGCUAGUUGGCGGGGUAAAGGCCCACCAAGGCGACGAUCCGUAGCUGGUCUGAGAGGAUGAUCAGCCACACUGGAACUGAGACACGGUCCAGACUCCUACGGGAGACAGCAGUGGGGAAUAUUGGACAAUGGGCGCAAGCCUGAUCCAGCCAUACCGCGUGGGUGAAGAAGGCCUUCGGGUUGUAAAGCCCUUUUGUUGGGAAAGAAAAGCAGCAGGUUAAUACCCCGCUGUUCUGACGGUACCCAAAGAAUAAGCACCGGCUAACUUCGUG